AGAGUUGAUCAGUGGCUCAGGACGAACGCUGGCGGCGUGCCUAACACAUGCAAGUCGAGCGAGGAGAUUCCUUCGGGAUGAUCCUAGCGGCGGACGGGUGAGUAACACGUGGGCAACCUGCCUCAUAGAGAGGAAUAGCCUUCCGAAAGGGAGAUUAAUACCUCAUAACAUUGCAGUUUCGCAUGGAACAGCAAUUAAAGGAGCAAUCCACUAUGAGAUGGGCCCGCGGCGCAUUAGCUAGUUGGUGAGGUAACGGCUCACCAAGGCGACGAUGCGUAGCCGACCUGAGAGGGUGAUCGGCCACAUUGGGACUGAGACACGGCCCAGACUCCUACGGGAGGCAGCAGUGGGGAAUAUUGCACAAUGGGGGAAACCCUGAUGCAGCCAACGCCGCGUGAGUGAUGACGGCCUUCGGGUUGUAAAGCUCUGUCUUCAGGGACGAUAAUGACGGUACCUGAGGAGGAAGCCACGGCUAACUACGUGCCAGCAGCAGC
rnacentral:rRNA from 1 species